UGGUCAACUAAGGACAUGUUUGUGUUACACAAUGGUGUGCCUUGGGAGACAUAGCCAAGAUAGCCCAGGAAGGACAGUACGUUUGCAUGGCACGCUGCCACUCUGCAUACUCACUUGGGUCCCAGAGGCUGCAUAAAUGAGUUAGCUCCAUUCAGUUGGCACAGCUCUGCGCUGACCUGGCUGUCCUGAUCCCAGGACUGGAAUUUCCACAUUUGGAGAUAAAAAAUACUUAGUGCCAAUUCAUGCAAAUUGGUCUGAUAAAUACUUGCCUAAACCCAUGCAAACUUUGGAAAUCAUUGUUGAAGACUUGUUUUCCUAAGAGUUAUCAGAACUGAGAAGCAGCCAAACUGCAGGUACCUGAAGAGUACUUCCUGAUCCUCCCGAGAACGACAACUAGUGAUGAGGAAACCUCUUGGUAAAUGCCAGUGAGGAGGUUGCAUUCAUCCAUCCAGAGAACAGGCACUAAUAUAGAGAUUUUAAGGGAAAUUUGGGAAGUUGAAGCAGUGUUUCCUGAGCUCUUCCCCAAAGUGUCCUCAGCCAAACACAAGUCAGAGCUGCACUGCUUAUUACAAUAUUAUUAACAUAAGUGGCUUUAGUAAAGUAGUAAAUAAUUCAUAAGAGAAUCUGCAAAAGCAAACAUGUUUGUCUUCUCCUCCACUUUCAUUGGGUUUGAAGAGUAUUGUUCACUUUGUUCAAAUAUUCGAUUUUAAAAUGCAGUAACAGUACACUGUUUUCUACUCCACCUGGCUUGUGUCAUUUUUAUUUUCUGAGUAAAAUGUUUGAAAAUGUGGUGCAACAGGGAAAGCAAGGAAUGUGCACACACAGCUGAUGUUCUUACUCUGUUCUUAAAAGACAGAAGGACAUAUAAUUUGGAGUGGAUUUCUUCUUGUGAGUACCUGGUGCCAGGUCUGCAUGAUGUUUAAACAGAAAAUUUCCACUGAAGUUUAAUCAUAUGCUUGCAUACUGGCUUAAAACAUUACUACAACCCCUGCACUGCAGUUACAUAACACAGUGAAAGUCAAGGAGCAAAUAACCAUUAUAGUGGAUGUUACAGAAAAAUUAAAGGGAGAUGUUCACCAGAGUCUCCCUUUGCCUCUCCCCUCCCUCAAUCCCUCUCACUGGUUUUAUCCAAAUUCUUUUAAUCUAAUUUCUACGAAUAUCUAGCAUUCCAGGCAGGUACACAGCUAUAGAAGAAACACCAAAAUGUCAACUGAGAAGAGGUAUGUAUCCUCUAAUGGAAGAAUGCUCUUCUUUUUACAAAGUUUCAAAAGGUUAUAGCAUUUCCAAAGUGAAGAGAUUCCUCCAGACCACUGAUUUUGACAACCUAACAUAUGUCCAGCCUUUCUGCAAGCCUCACACAACAUGUCAUCCUUCUGUGAAAGAAGAUGCAAGUGGCAUAAGCGAACUUUAAACAAGCACAGUGUGAGCAGAUGGUGUUAAUUCCAGAGUCAAGUCAUGUUCCUAAACUUGGUUCAUAUCAGGAGGGACAAACAGGGAGAAUAGCUGGGUCAGUUUGAAGUGUUAUUUCCUAGAGGUGGUUCAUCCAAACAGGGAUGAACCCUUCUGUUUUAGUUUGAAACAUUGAAUUUAACUAAACUGGAGUUAAAGCCUGCCACAAUUGAGUACAAGUGAAAGCUAGAAGAGGAAUUUGUUCUACCGAUGAGACAGCCAGUUUUUGUAUUGACUUUUACAUACCAAAUCCUCGCAGUCAACAAAAACAUGAAGAAUCUGGGGAGAGAAAGAAAAAUGAAGUCAGUAUCUUAAAAGACUAAUGGGUUCACAUUCCAUCUGACAGGGGAAAGAAAUUUUAAAUGUUGGUAAACAUUGGCAAAAAAUAGCUUAUGGGAGGGCACUUCUUCAACAUCCUUUAACUAGGAGGUUUAAAAAUUGCCAGAGAAGUCAGUAGUCAAGGGAGAACUCUUCUACUUUUUUCUAAAAUCUACUGAUUUUAGUAGUUGAGAAACUAAGCCUCCAAGCUAGUUUGGCUGUCUAAGCUCUCAUGAUGACAAAGAGAAGUAUCUCCAGAGGUAAUCUACCCCUACUCAAGAGAUGACUUUGGCUGGACCCACUCCUCAUAAAGCUUCUGUUUCUUUCUGCUGGCUCUGGAAAGGAACCACAGUACUGCAUCGCUCUAGAAUUUAUUACAUGGACAAAUAAAAAAUGAAGUAUGCUUUACCACCAAUGGAAACUCUCUAUUCUAAUUAACAAAUCAGACCUUCAGAAAUACAAUUUCCCUUCUGGUAUGUUCUCAGCUGAAACCUUGUAUACAUCUGAGCCGAACUUCACAGCUUGAAUCUUUGACAGCUUCUCUUCCAUUGUAAGCUUGUACAGCACCAAGUGCAUUGCUAUCAGACAAAUAAAAAGAAUAAUAAAACUCAAUCAUGCUUGUAUAUAUAGAAGGCCAAUCAAUGUAAACACAGGGUUUCUCUAAACAGGAGAAAAGCGGAAGCCAGAUGGCAUGAAAUCAUUGAUAGCUGUUUCAUAAACUUUUCCUGCAAUCAAAUCUAAUUGAAAUAACACUAGAUUGUAGGCUUUAGCAGGUGGGCAGCACACACAGCUGUUUCUGCUAGAUGUUUUCCAAAGAAUACAUACAUAAAACAUUUCACUGGGACUGACAUACGGGAAAAAAGGUUAGCCCAGAUGGAAUGCUCACUUUCAGGCUUUAUUUUACUGACAGAUUUCUGAAGCUUUCCACUUAAAAAAUAUGAAAAGGAGCAUUUCUCUGAUAUUGUUGAACCAUUAACAGUCAUAUGUAAUGUGGCUAGGAGCUAUGCUGUGGUCAUGCAGUGUCUUCAACUCUAAUUUAUAUUUUGAGGAAAGGCAGAGCAGAGAAGAACCUCCUAGUGUCCAGUUCAUUGCUUUGCAUUGAGGUAGGAUGAAUAUAACUGAAUCAUUUCCAAGAACUAUUUCUGUUUUAUAAAAAUGCCCCAAGGAAACAUUCCACUAGCCUCCUAGGUUGUUUGUUGCAGGCUUUCCCUGAACUAAUCUUUAAAUAUUUUCCUAAUCUCUACUCUACUUUUUUAAUGCCAUUAAACUAAUGUCUACGAAGAGUUAAGGGGAAGAAAGAGUUGAUGUAUUUCUUUGUUUUACUUUUUACAUAGCGAAGAAUUUGUCAGUCAUCUCUCCUCCUUCCAUCCUUUUCUGUAGACUCCCAAUGCAAGACAUGUGGGUGAGCUAGGAGAACUAGAUGUGACUUCACUGAGAAGUCUGGUGUCCACUCAUUUCACUUUCGACUUUUGUUUGCAUUGAAAAUGAAAAUUCAAAGAAAAUGUGAAGAAAGCAUGGAAAAAUGAAAAAGAUCAACUUAUAUGGAUCAAAUGAGAGCAUCUGGGAAGGAAAGUGAACUGAAAUGAACUAUAUAGGUCAUUCUAGCUAAGUGACAGAUUAAGGUUGCUACUCUUCACCAAUAAUUAUCCACACAGCUCACAAUCUUUAUAGAAAUAUGCUGCAUAAAGACAAACUUUUUUUCUUUCUUUUUUCUGUUGCUAUUUGUAUCAGAAUCUGUGUUUUUACACUUCAGUCUUAAGGAUCAGAAGCUGUCACCCUCUCAGUAAAAGCAAUCCUGAAAAAGAUAGCAUAAAUGAAUAGCAGGAUUACAUGCAAAAUAUGCUAUCUAAUAAUAAUGAUCUAUUGGACUGCAGGAGUCUUUGUGGAUACUCCUUUGAAAAUGUUCAUUCUGAGGUUAAUAGCAUCCAACUUCUCCUCCUGCCCAGGAUAUUAGAAAUAUAUACUAGUAGUAUAUUAGGCCAGGAAUUGAAGGAGAGAAAACAUCAUUAUAUCACUGCACAAAACCCCAGCUUUAAAUGCUAGGCAUGACUGUGGAUGCCCCAGCUCAGAAAGAAUAAGGUUCAAUGAAGGGCAUAAAGGAGAGGUUUGAAAUGGGCUCUGUCCAAAGAGAUAUUAAACAGAGCAAGACUUUUCAACAUAGAGGAAAAAAAAAGAGUUUAAAAAAGAUUGUGAGUUAUAAAAUGAUGAAUGGCAAGAGGAAAGGGAGGGAAUGAUGGC